AACGAACGCUGGCGGCAGGCUUAACACAUGCAAGUCGAACGCUCGUAGCAAUACGGGAGUGGCGGACGGGUGAGUAACGCGUGGGAACGUGCCCUGAGGUACGGAAUAACUGAGGGAAACUUCAGCUAAUACCGUAUGAGCCCCGAGAGGGGGAAAGAUUUAUCGCCUUGGGAGCGGCCCGCGUCGGAUUAGCUAGUUGGUGGGGUAACGGCCUACCAAGGCUUCGAUCCGUAGCUGGUCUGAGAGGACGAUCAGCCACACUGGGACUGAGACACGGCCCAGACUCCUACGGGAGGCAGCAGUGGGGAAUCUUGCGCAAUGGGGGCAACCCUGACGCAGCCAUGCCGCGUGAACGAUGAAGGCCUUAGGGUUGUAAAGCUCUUUCAGCUGGAACGAAACGGUACAUCCUAAUACGGUGUGCUAAUGACGGUACCAGCAGAAGAAGCACCGGCUAACUACGUG
rnacentral:rRNA from 1 species